UCUUGAAGAUAGGCACCACAUUGGCCUUCUUCCAGUCUUUGGGCACUUCCCCAGAGUGCCAAGAGUUUUCAAAGAUCCGUGCUAGAGGCUGGGCUAUGAUGCUCGCCAGCUCCUUGAGUACCCUGGGGUGAAGUUUGUCAGGGCCGGCUGACUUGAAGGUAUCCAGCUUCUCAAGAUGUUCCUUCAUGAAGUCAGCAUCAGUGGAGGGCAGGGGAUCACCCUCACCCAGACUUCCCUGUCCCGUAGCGGGCACGGGCGUCCCAUGGGACUGAUGAAAGACCGACGCAAAGUACCUAUUUAAUAGGUUGGCUUUUUCCUGGGUGUCAGUUGUCAGUUGCCCCAUCUGGUUCAGCAGGGGUCCAACGUUGCCCCUACUUUUCCUCCAGCUCCCCACAUAUCUGAAAAAGGACUUUUUAUUGUCCUUGAUGCUCAAAGCUAGUUGGAGUUCAGUUGCAUAGGGCAGGCCUGGGCCCUAUGCCUCUGUUGCCUUCCGCACACAGCACAUGAAGGGUCAGGGCUGUGUGCUCUCCUGGGUCAGUUUGAUCCCCUGCUGGACCUUCACCAACAGAGCCAGUGACAGCUUCACGAGGCCAAGGCAGAGGUCAGGACGGGGAGACCUGUUUACCCCAACUCCUGAGAACUGAGACCUCCCAGUCCAGCUGCCUCCACCCUGGGACCAAGGCUGACUCCUCCUCCAGGAAAACCUCACAGAUUAACUUGUGUCUGCAGUGGGUUGGGUGUCUUAGGAGGAAGGGCAUGCACAGGCUAGCUAAUGCUGGGACCUGGUGCUGCUGUGGUACAGACCAGUCCAGCUGAGAUCUUUACCUGCACCUGCAGUGAUUCAUCUGAAGAACAGAUAUGCAGUCUGAGCAGAAGAGAGGGAGGAGCUCGUUCCAUUGGUGGAGAAAGACAGGCCAGGCCUCACCAAGGUUGGAAGGAUUGAGACAACCCCCACCAAGAAAAAGUGACAGGUGGUGGUGGUUGAAGAUUCCCUUCUGUGGGUGAUAAAGGGAGCCAUCUUCUGACCUCACCUGUUGUCUCAAGAGAUCUCGUGCUUGCCCAGAGCCUGGAUCUGAGAUGAUGACACGGAGGGACUACAGAGACUCAUCUGGCCCUUUGACUACUACCCUAUGCUGCUGAUCCGUGUGGGCAUGAAUGAUACUGCCAGGGGAGACCCUGAGCAUAUCAGCAGUGACUACAGGACUCUGGGUGCAAGGGUGAGGGGGUCUGGAGCUCAGGUUGUGUUCUUGUUGAUUGUUACAGUCAAGGGAAAGGGCCCCAGAAGGAGCAGGUGCAUCCUGCAGACCAACACCUGGCUGCACAGGUGGCAUUGCUAGCAGGACUUUGGUUUCUUCAAACAUGGGAUGUUUUUUCCAAGAAGAAAGAUUUCUGGGAAGAGACCGGAUCCACCUGAUGAAAAGAGGGAAGAGCAUCUUCACAGAGAGGCUCACUGACCUCAAGAGAAGAGCUUUAAAUUAGGUUUGCUGGGGGAUGGAGACCAAAGCCCUGAGGUAAGUAGGGAAGCAGGAGACCUGGAGGAAGAGGAAGCAGGAGGGGGCAACAAGGGAGGUGCUCUCAUACUUCCUGAGAAAUCAGGACAAUCAAGUGGUUACCUGUACACGAAUGCACUUAGCCAGGGAAACAAGCAGGAAGAACUGGAAGUCCUCGCACAGUCACGGGGCUGUACUUCAAAGAAGCCUUACUGAGGGUGCAGGAACAAACCAUCCUGAUGCGCAGAAAGACUAGGAAAUAUGGCAGAAGACCAGUUUGACUUAGCAGGGAACUCUUCAGUAAACUAAGUCAUAAAAAGGAAGCUUAUAAGAAGAGGAAACUUGGACAAGUAACUAGGGAAGAAUAUAAGAGCAUUCCUCGGGCAUAGAGGAAUGAAGUCAGAAAGGCCAAAGUGCAAUUGGAGUUACAACUAGCAAGGGAUGUAAAGGUAACAAGAAGGGUGUCUACAAGUAUGUUGGUAGCAAGAGGAGGACCAGGGAAGUAUGGUUCCCUUACUGAAUGGGGGAGGCAACCUUGUGACAGAGGAUGCAGAAGAGGUUGAAGUGCUCAGUACCUUUUUCGCCUCAGUCUUCACAGGUAAGGUCAGCUCCCAGACUACUGCACCUUGCAGCACAGUUUGGGGAGGAGGUGAGCAGCCUUCAGUGCUGAAAAAGCAGGUUAGGGACUACUGCACUUAGAAAAGCUGGAUAUAUAAAAGUCCAUGGGGCCAGAUGGGAGGCACCCAAGGGUGCUAAGGGAGAUGGCUGAUGUGAUUGCAGAGCUACUGAUCAUCAUCUUUGAAAACUCAUGGUGAUCAGGAGAGGUCCUGGAUGAUUGGAAAAGGGCAAACUUAGUGCCCAUAUUUAAGAAAGGGAAAAAGGAGGAUCCAGGGAGCUAAAGACCAGGUAGCUCCACCUCAGUCCUUGGAAAAAUUAUAGAGCAGAUCCUCAAGGAAUCCAUUUCUAAGCACUUGGAGAAGAAGAUGGUGAUUAGGAACAGUCAGCAUGGAUUCAUCAAGGGCAAGUCAUGCCUGACCAACCUGAUUGCCUUCUAUGACAAGGUGACUAAUUUGUGGAUGCAGGAAGACCAGUGGAUGUGGUGUACCUCCAUUUUAGCAAGGCUUUUGAUAUGGUUUCACACAACGUUCUUGCAGGCAAGCUAAGGAAAUAUGGGCUGGAUGAGUGGACUGUAAGGUUGAUAGAAAACUGGCUGGAGCAUCAGGCUUAGAGAGUAGUAAUCAAUGGCUUGAUGUCUAGUUGGCAGCCGAUAUCAAGUGGAGCACCCCAGGGGUUGGUCUUGGAGCUGGUUUCAUUCAAUGCCUUCAUCAACAACCGGGAAGAUGCCAUAGAGUGCACCCUCAGCAAGUCUGCAGAUGACACCAAGGUGGGGGGAGUAGUAGAUACACUGGAGGGUAGGGCUAGGAUUCAGAGUGACAUAGACACAUUGGAGGAUUGGACCCAAAGGAAUCUCAUGAGGUUCAACAAGGACAAACGCAAAGUCCUGCACUUAGGACAGAAUAAUCCCAUGCAGCAGGACAGGCUGGGGGCUGACUGGCUGGGCAGCAGCUCUGCGGAAAAUGACAUGUGGGUUACAGUGGACAAUAAGCCAAAUAGGAGCCAGCAGUGUGCCCUUGUUGCCAAGAAGGUUAACGGCAUCUUCAGGAGAGACUCUGCCAGGCCUAGGGUCAGGGAGGACCGAGUUAGAGAACUUCUGGAGGUGCUGGACAUGUUCAAAUCAGCAGGUGCAGAUGCUCUUCACCCCAGGGUGUUGAGGGAAUUGGCAGGGGUUAUCACAGGACCCUUGGAACAGCUUUACGAGCACUUGUGGUGCUUUGGCCAGUUGAUGGAUGACUGGAAGAGGACCAAUGUGGUCCCCAUCUUCAAAAAAGGGAGGAGAGAGGACCCUGGCAACUAUAGGCCCAUUAGUCUUACUUCAAUCCUGGGGAAACUCUUUGAGAAGAUUAUGUUUAAGAGGAGGCUUGACAAUUACCUAUCUGGGGUCAUUUGAGCCCAGUUUUCUCUCCUGCUCAGGGCAGGGGCUCAGACUAGAAGAUCUGCAAGGUCCCGUCUGUCCCUACAUCUAUGAAUCUAUGAAUCCUGGGCUGCAUUGGUAGGUGUUUUGCCAGUUGGUCAAGGCAAGUGCUAUUCCCCUCUAUUCAGCACUGGAGAGGCCAUAUCUGGAGCACUGUGCUCAUUUUGGGCCCCCCACUACAGAAAGGAUGUGGACAAAUUUGAGAGAGUCCAGCGGAGGGCAAUAAAAAUGCUGAGGGGGCUUGGAGACAUGACUUAUGCAGAAAGACCAAGGGAACUGGGCUUAUUUUAGAGAAGAGAAUACUAAGGCAGGAUUUAAUAGCAGCCUUCAACGACCUGCAGGGGGGUUUGAAAGAGGAUGAAGCUGAACUGUUCUCAGUAAGGCAGGUGACAGAACAAUGGCACAAUGGUCUCAAGUUGCAGUGAGGGAAGUGUAGGGUAGAUAUUAGGACAAAUUUGCUCACUAGAUGAGUAGUAAAGCACUGGAACAGGUUACCCAGGUAGGUGGUAGAAGUUCCAUCCUUGGACAUGUUAAGACCCUAACAGACAAACAUUUGGCUGGGAUGAUCUAAUUGGGGCUGGUUCUACUUUGAGCAGGGGGUUGGACUAUAUGUGACCUCCUGAGCUCCAUUCUAGCCCUAUCUUUCUAUGUUUCUAUAAUCCCUUUCUGUAUCUCAUGGCAUUCUUGUGAACCACAGAGUUCUUCAGCUCAUCUUCCCUGAAUUGGUCUAGUCCCACGACUAAACUAGGAUCCUCCACCCACAGCUGCCAUCCAUGACCUCAUCUUCCUCCCCACUCCUGUCUGGGUGUGGACCAGGCUCUUCUGUGUCUCUAGCAGACUGCUUGACCUCUUCUAGCACCAUGGCCUUUCUGUUCUGAGUUUGUGCUCUCCCCUGAGAGCUGGGUCAGAUAUUUCUCUUUUACCACCAUCUGGCCCAAUGUCACAAACUCCUCCCACCUCAAGAAAGCUCUUAAAUACUUAAAUGACUGACCCAGGCCCCUAUUCAGAGAUGGGCCUGAGAAAUACCUUGUCUCCAGAGGUCAAAGUAUAGGGACAGAACAGCAUUCAUGGUACAACAGCAUUCAUAACAACGUCCCCACCUAACCCAGGGCUCAGAGAGAUGCCCCAGCAACCCCUCCUUCCCACCCAGGGGCCAGGGGGUGUAGAGCCUGGAGGGCCCCAAGCAGCCCCUUGCAAGCUGGAACUCUGACAGCCUGCAAGGGAAAAGCCACGGUUUCCCACUUUCCUCCUUUAAAGGAGAAUUCAUUUUUAAAGUUUGUUCAUGAACCUUUCAUAUAUUCUUGCAACUCACUUUUGGGUUACAAACCACAGGCUGAGAAACACUGUCUAGGGCCUUUGAUGACCCAAGUCAGCUCUGUGGCAUUGCCUGGAGGUUCUCACGUACAGCAGGCUUUGCAGGGAAACCUGUCAUGUCCCACUGCUCACAUCCAUACACACGCCCAGCUGUGCAGAGUCCUGCUGAGCCAGGCUGACCAUUGGGAGGGCCUGCACUGGGCCAGUCUGCACCCUGAUGCAGCAUGGCCCAGGCAUGCAGGUGUUUUCCUGGAUUAUAAGGUGGGCAUGGUCUUGUUUUACAAUGUGACUGACAGGUCCAAUGUCUUCACUUUCGCUGACACCGUCUCCAGGACUCUGCACCUUUUCUUCUGAUCUCAUCUCAAUGCUGGGGGCACCAAUGCAGCUCCUCUGAUCCUGUUCCUGGUCCCAGCCCAGCCCUGAGGGAAUCCCUGUCACUGUCAUGACACAUGCACAGACUGUCCCCUCCCAGCCCUGCCCGACUGCCAGCCCCUCGGGUGCCCCCAGGGUUAGGGUGGGGCAGGGGCUGGGGUCUCCCAGUCUCUGGAGCUGUUUCUGCCUGGGCCCUGCUGCUUCCCUGCACAGAGCUGCAGGCCCUCAGUACCACUUGGGCUAAUGCCCAGCAUCCCCUCAAUCAUGGACUCGAUGAUCCAUGAAGCCAGUCAUGGUCCCUGAUUCUCAGACUGCCCCAGGGGCUGCUCUGACCAACUCCAGUUGACUGUGGUCCAAGGGGAGGGGAGUGUACACUGAUCUACUCCAGCACAGCCCCUGCCCUGACACCAACCCCAGAAUAGCAGGUGGCAGCUUGCCCAGGUGCUGGUUACCCUGCUCCAUGCCAGCUGAACCUUACUUGUGUCCGGGAUGCGCUAUCAGGGCCAGAUCCAACCAACUGCUUAACCUUGGCACACAGGGCCUGGAGCAGUGGGAGGGUCUGUCCUUUGUCCAGUUCUUCCUCCCUUGCACCUAUGAGUGAUCCCCACAGGGGCAGCCCCACUGGCUUCCAGGUCUGGUGGUGGGUGGGCCUCACAGGGCAGAUGCUAUAGAUCAGAGGCCUGAGCUGCUUUGGGGACCGGAUCCUGCCAUCUGCCCCCAGGCAGCAUUGCUGCUGAAGCCAACUCUGGUUGUAUGUAGCACAGGGGCAGCUUUGCAAGUGAGGAUCACGGCUACUGACUGAUCAGUUUUUAUUUUCUCUCCUCCUGCUGUCCUUCCUCGGGACUCUUCACCAGAGCGGGAAUGCAUGGGAGUCCAAAAAGAGGCAGGUCUUCGCUAUACUUCCUUACAGCUCAAAGCCCUUGCACAACCGAUCACCAAUUUCAUGUAGUCCGGAGUUUUCCUGCCAUCAUGCAACACCAGGAACCCCGGCAAGGAGACAGGGGAGAAGGCGGUUCUGCCCCUCACCCAGCCUAGACCCCUGUCGGCCCACUGCCAUCACUGCUGGAGAGUCCUGGACACCCCUCUGCCCUUUCUGCUCUGCCUGGGGUGUCACUACAUUCCUCCUUCCAGACACUCUGAUCCCAGAAGCAAUUCAGUCUGAAUCACGGUGAUUAGCUUGUGGGAGAAGCAGAUUGAACAGGACAGUUUCAAGGGAGUUGAGAUGCCGAAGCCAGUGAUCACACCUAGCGUUAAGAAGGUGACCCUAGGAAAGAACAAUGGUCACAGGCCAUGACUCAGUUUCCCUGCUCCCUACUGAACUGGACGAAGACCUUAUCUCAGCAGAAUGGGCGGGAAUACAGAAAUUUGCACCUGAACUGUAUAUACCCCCCACACAAAGGCAGAAGUGGGGGAGACUGGGAAUUGCCUCAAAUCUUGAGAACAGACUCUCAGGGUCCUGAGACCUUGCCACCCACUUGUGAGUAUAUCUGCAUGUUCUCUACUGUACAUAGUUGCUCUUUCUAAUGUUGCCUGAGUGAUAAUAUCCCAAAUAAACUGGUCUAUAGCUUGGA